UACGUAGGGUGCAAGCGUUAAUCGGAAUUACUGGGCGUAAAGCGUGCGCAGGCGGCUUUGCAAGACAGAUGUGAAAUCCCCGGGCUCAACCUGGGAACUGCAUUUGUGACUGGCGGGCUAGAGUAUGGCAGAGGGGGGUAGAAUUCCACGUGUAGCAGUGAAAUGCGUAGAGAUGUGGAGGAAUACCGAUGGCGAAGGCAGCCCCCUGGGCCAAUACUGACGCUCAUGCACGAAAGCGUGGGGAGCAAACAGG
rnacentral:rRNA from 1 species